rnacentral:rRNA from 1 species
GUGAGGUAACCGCAAGGAGCCAGCCGCCGAAGGUGGGGUAGAUGAUUGGGGUGAAGUCGUAACAAGGUAGCCGUAUCGGAAGGUGCGGCUGGAUCACCUCCUUU